AUACUUACGUGGCAGGGGAGGUAUCAUGAUCAUGAAGGUGUUUUCCCAGGGUGAGGAUUAUUCAUUGCACUCCAGGUGUUCUGACCCCUGCAAUUUCCCCAAAUGUGGAAAACAUAACUACAUAAUUUGUGGUAGUGAGGGACUGUGUUUACGCUCUCCCCUA
ensembl:snRNA U1 U1 spliceosomal RNA